GACGAACGCUGGCGGCGUGCUUAACACAUGCAAGUCGAACGGAAAGGCCUGUCCUUCCUUGUGUUGGACGGGUACUCGAGUGGCGAACGGGUGAGUAACACGUGAGUGAUCUGCCCCCAACUUGGGUAUAAGCCUGGGAAACUGGGUCUAAUUCCCGAUAGGACUGCAGGGUGGUGCCUGUGGUGGAAAACGAUUUUCUAGUGGUUGGGGAUGAGCUCGCGGCCUAUCAGCUUGUUGGUGGGGUAAUGGCCUACCAAGGCGGAGACGGGUAGCCGGCCUGAGAGGGUGGACGGCCACAUUGGGACUGAGAUACGGCCCAGACUCCUACGGGAGGCAGCAGUGGGGAAUAUUGCACAAUGGGCGGAAGCCUGAUGCAGCGACGCCGCGUGGGGGAUGACGGCCUUCGGGUUGUAAACUCCUUUCGACCGCGAGGAAGCCGCCUGGUUGGAAGGGUGGUGACGGUAGUGGUAGAAGAAGCACCGGCUAACUACGUG
rnacentral:rRNA from 1 species